rnacentral:rRNA from 1 species
GAUGAACGCUGGCGGCGUGCCUAAUACAUGCAAGUCGAGCGAACAGACGAGGAGCUUGCUCCUCUGACGUUAGCGGCGGACGGGUGAGUAACACGUGGAUAACCUACCUAUAAGACUGGGAUAACUUCGGGAAACCGGAGCUAAUACCGGAUAAUAUAUUGAACCGCAUGGUUCAAUAGUGAAAGACGGUUUUGCUGUCACUUAUAGAUGGAUCCGCGCCGCAUUAGCUAGUUGGUAAGGUAACGGCUUACCAAGGCGACGAUGCGUAGCCGACCUGUGAGGGUGGUCGGCCGCACGGGAGCUGGGACGCGGUCCAGACUCCUGCGGGAGGCAGCAGUAGGGAAUCUUCCGCAGUGGUCGAAAGCCUGACGGAGCGACGCCGCGUGAGUGAUGAAGGUCUUCGGAUCGUAAAACUCUGUUAUUAGGGAAGAACAAAUGUGUAAGUAACUGUGCACGUCUUGACGGUACCUGAUCAGAAAGCCACGGCUAACUACGUG